AUUACUUAUUUGGAGGCCUGACGCGCGACGAGGUGAUUAAUGUAUAUUUCCAUAUAAUUAAUAAGCUCGAUUGCUGUGGUGUACAUAAAUUUAGUCAACCGGGUAUUUUCUUGCGAACUGAAGUUGCGAUGCACGUACUCAAUAAGAUGCAGGAAUAUGGAAAGAAUAAUCCAGUAACAGCUGAUUUUGUGAAG